AUACCUUUCUCGGCCUUUUGGCUAAGAUCAAGUGUAGUAUCUGUUCUUAUCAGUUUAAUAUCUGAUAUGAGGACAAGUUUAGCUUGCUAUUGUGGUCUUUGAGUGUCGUCUUGGCGUUGCACUACUGCUUUGGCCUCGCGCACCUCUC
rnacentral:snRNA from 1 species